GAGACUCUGUGCGCGUGCAUAUCAAUAAGCGGAGGAAAAGAAACUAACAAGGAUUCCCUUAGUAACGGCGAGUGAAGCGGGAAGAGCUCAAAUUUGAAAUCUUCAAGGGUUCUACCUUUACGAAUUGUAGUUUAAUAGAAGUGUUUUCUGUUAGUAGAGUGGCUAAAAGUUCUUUGGAAUAGGACAUCAUAGAGGGUGAGAAUCCCGUAUUUGGUCAUUUUUCUAGCUGUGUGAUACACUUUCAACGAGUCGGAUUGUUUGGGAAUGCAGUCCAAGAUGGGUGGUAAAUUUCAUCUAAAGCUAAAUAUUGGCGAGAGACCGAUAGCGAACAAGUACCGUGAGGGAAAGAUGAAAAGAACUUUGAAAAGAGAGUUAAACAGUACGUGAAAUUGUCAAAAGGGAAGCGUUUGACACCAGUGUUGUUUUUCCGAAAAUCAAUUACGAAUGUUUUGUUUUUGAGGAGUUAUGACUUCAUCGGCUUGCUUCUCUCUUUAUGAAACUUUCUUAAUGCACUUUUCGGUUAACAAGUCAACAUCAAUUUCUUUUGUUGUAAAAGGGUAUGAGGAAGGUGGCUUUCUUUUCGGAGAAAGUGUUUAUAGCCUUGUACCUCUGCAAUCGGAGAGAUUGAGGUCUGCAGCGUAGAUCCUUCGGGGUUAGAUACAUUUGUGCUAAGUUAUAGCUUUUCAUAGACAACUUGUUGACUAUAUUUAGUCUUGUAGCUUACUCGCUUAUGCUAUUUUACCUACGCUUAGGAUGUUGACAGCAGUAUAGACUGU
rnacentral:rRNA from 1 species